UUGCAAAUAAGAAAAAGAAAAAUUCUGCUGAACUUUCUACUACAGGUGCAAGAAAAAAGUGUCUGCAUGCUUUCUGUCUGUCGUGGCAGCCAAGACUGAGAAGAAUAUAUGG
rnacentral:snoRNA from 1 species